rnacentral:rRNA from 1 species
GACGAACGCUGGCGGCGUGCCUAAUACAUGCAAGUUGAGCGCUGAAGGUUGGUACUUGUCCCAACUGGAUGAGCAGCGAACGGGUGAGUAACGCGUGGGGAAUCUGCCUUUGAGCGGGGGACAACAUUUGGAAACGAAUGCUAAUACCGCAUAAAAACUUUAAACACAAGUCUUAAGUUUGAAAGAUGCAAUUGCAUCACUCAAAGAUGAUCCCGCGUUGUAUUAGCUAGUUGGUGAGGUAAAGGCUCACCAAGGCGAUGAUACAUAGCCGACCUGAGAGGGGGAUCGGCCACAUUGGGACUGAGACACGGCCCAAACUCCUACGGGAGGCAGCAGUAGGGAAUCUUCGGCAAGGGACGAAAGUCUGACCGAGCAACGCCGCGUGAGUGAAGAAGGGUUUCGGAUCGUAAAACUCUGUUGGUAGAGAAGAACGUUGGCGAGAGUGGAAAGCUCAUCAAGUGACGGUAACUACCCAGAAAGGGACGGCUAACUACGUG